AAUAAGUGCAUUUUUGCGCUAUUCAUGUUCAACAUUUGACCGUCCGUCUUAUUUGAAAAUUUUUUAUGAUUAGUAUUUUUAUUGCUAUUAGAUGAUAAAACAUGAAUAGUACUUUAUGUGUGACUAAAUGUUUUUAAUUUUUUCACAAAUUUUUCAAAUAAGACGGACGGUCAAACGUUGAACGUGAAUAGUGCAAAACUGCACUUAUU
rfam:Oryza sativa Japonica Group DNA, chromosome 5, cultivar: Nipponbare, complete sequence.